rnacentral:rRNA from 1 species
ACGGUAACCUGUCUUUCGUUUUGCUGACGAGUGGCGAACGGGUGAGUAAUACAUCGGAACGUGCCUAGUAGUGGGGGAUAACUACUCGAAAGAGUGGCUAAUACCGCAUGACAUCUAAGGAUAAAAGCAGGGGACCUUCGGGCCUUGUGCUACUAGAGCGGCCGAUGGCAGAUUAGGUAGUUGGUGGGAUAAAAGCUUACCAAGCCAACGAUCUGUAGCUGGUCUGAGAGGACGAUCAGCCACACUGGGACUGAGACACGGCCCAGACUCCUACGGGAGGCAGCAGUGGGGAAUUUUGGACAAUGGGCGCAAGCCUGAUCCAGCAAUGCCGCGUGCAGGAUGAAGGCCUUCGGGUUGUAAACUGCUUUUGUACGGAACGAAAAGCUCUGGGCUAAUACCUCGGAGUCAUGACGGUACCGUAAGAAUAAGCACCGGCUAACUACGUGCCAGCAGCCGCGGUAAUACGUAGGGUGCGAGCGUUAAUCGGAAUUACUGGGCGUAAAGCGUGCGCAGGCGGUUUUGUAAGACAGUGGUGAAAUCCCCGGGCUCAACCUGGGAACUGCCAUUGU